rnacentral:rRNA from 1 species
GUAGGGGGCGAGCGUUAUCCGGAAUUACUGGGCGUAAAGGGCGUCUAGGCGGCUUGGUAAGUCUCGUGUGAAAUCUCCCGGCUCAACCGGGAGGGUGCACGGGAAACUGUCAAGCUUGAGACUCGGAGGGGGGUGCGGAAUUCCCGGUGGAGCGGUGGAAUGCGUUGAGAUCGGGAGGAACACCGGAGGCGAAGGCGGCACCCUGGCCGAGGUCUGACGCUGAAGCGCGACAGCGUGGGGAGCGAACGGGAUUAGAUACCCCGGUAGUCCACGCCGUAAACGAUGACAACUAGGUGUUGGGCGUCCUACGAGGCGCUCAGUGCCGCAGCUAACGCGUUAAGUUGUCCGCCUGGGAGUACGGCCGCAAGGCUA